rnacentral:misc_RNA from 1 species
CCGCAGCCCGACUUGAGUGGAGCUCUUUUUUGUCAUUGCGAUUACUGAAUCGUUCAACUGAUUGCUUCACUUUGUUCGCAAUGACAAAAAAAGCGGGAACGGAAGGCGGAUAAAGC